UACGUAGGGUGCGAGCGUUGUCCGGAAUUAUUGGGCGUAAAGAGCUCGUAGGCGGUUUGUCGCGUCUAUCGUGAAAACUGGAGGCUUAACUUUCAGCGUGCGGUGGAUACGGGCAGACUUGAGUUCGGUAGGGGAGACUGGAAUUCCUGGUGUAGCGGUGAAAUGCGCAGAUAUCAGGAGGAACACCGGUGGCGAAGGCGGGUCUCUGGGCCGAUACUGACGCUGAGGAGCGAAAGCGUGGGGAGCGAACAGGAUUAGAAACCCCCGUAGUCC
rnacentral:rRNA from 1 species